rnacentral:rRNA from 1 species
UUAAAGCGGUACGUGAGCUGGGUUCAGAACGUCGUGAGACAGUUUGGUCCAUAUCCGGUGUAAGCGUAAGAACAUUGAGAGGAACUUUCCAUAAUACGAGAGGACUUGGAAGGAUAUACCGCUGGUGUACCAGUUCUUGUACCAACGGGAAAUGCUGGGUAGCUAAGUAUAGAGUGGAUAACUGCUGAAAGCAUCUAAGUAGGAAGCCCACCUCAAGAUGAGUGUUCUUUUGAAGAUCAGAGCGAGACUAGCUCAAAAAUAGGAAUUCAGUGUAUGGCUAGUAAUAGUUGAAGCUAAAAUUUACUAAAGAUCAAAUUUUUUGAAUAAA